CAGCAGCCGCGGUAAUACGAAGGGUGCAAGCGUUACUCGGAAUUACUGGGCGUAAAGCGUGCGUAGGUGGUUCGUUAAGUCUGAUGUGAAAGCCCUGGGCUCAACCUGGGAAUUGCAUUGGAUACUGGCGGGCUAGAGUGCGGUAGAGGAUGGCGGAAUUCCCGGUGUAGCAGUGAAAUGCGUAGAGAUCGGGAGGAACAUCUGUGGCGAAGGCGGCCAUCUGGACCAGCACUGACACUGAGGCACGAAAGCGUGGGGAGCAAACAGGAUUAGAUACCCUGGUAGUCCACGCCCUAAACGAUGCGAACUGGAUGUUGGGAGCAAUCUGGCUCUCAGUAUCGAAGCUAACGCGUUAAGUUCGCCGCCUGGGGAGUACGGUCGCAAGACUGAAACUCAAAGGAAUUGACGG
rnacentral:rRNA from 1 species